CCGUGCAGCCGGGGAGAUAGCGGUGCCUUGUACCUGCAAUCCGCUACAGCAGGGGUGAUGUCCUGUCUGAGGGUCAUAUCCUGUGGAGCUGCCCUGUAUAAGUGGCGUUGAAGCCUGGGUCUUGCGCAACAGAAACCCGUGAACCGUGUCAGGUCAGGAAUGGAGCAGCACUAAGCGGGAUCUUUUGUGUGCCGCGAGGGUGCCUGGGCUGAGUUAACUGUACAGGUAACGUCUGUGGGAGUGAUUCGAAGCAGGAUGCACGG
rnacentral:SRP_RNA from 1 species